GGUAUUAACGAGUUCGCGGUUCCGCUGCUCCAACAAAGGGCAGAGAAGGAGCGCCUGGAUGGUAGUUCGACUGUCUGAUCCUCUGGGAACCACAACCAAAUCGUGCAGUUCAUUUGCCUCAUCCUCCUAAAAUCAUCUGUUACUCCAGCAUGCUCUUUUUUUUUUUUUUUGGAAGGGGGACAGGAUUUUUCCACCAAUUCCCCCAAGGGGCUUUCUGCAGUAUUCCUUUCAUUCUACCUGCUACACGUGGAGGCAGCUUCUGAUGGCGGUGGAAAAAACAAUAGAAUCUCCGAAUGAAAAAAACCCCAGAUUACUAUGUUGUAAAAACGGGUCCUUGACAUUCUUCCUGUUUGUCUAGGGAGAUGCUGACAUCCACUGUUACCUUUGCCUCUGGCGGUAGGAGUGCAGGUCAUUCAUGCCUUGAUGCUUGGACGUUUCUUCAAACACAGAAUGGUGGCAGAACACCAUUACCUCUCACUUAGAUUGUUGCCGUAAUCUCCUAACUGAUUUCCCUGUGUCUACACUGCUUCCUCUAAGUGCAUUCUCAAUACAGCAGCAAGAGAAAUCCCUUGGAAACACAAGUCAGGUAAUGUUUUUCUUCUGUUUAAAUCCUGCGAUUGCAGCCCACAUCACUCUCAAUGAAAGCUCAGAUCAAUACUACAGCUGUCACCAUUCUACAUGACUUGCUUUCCUCUCCCCAUCACCUCCUUGACCUCCUGUGCCAUGAACUCCACCUCUCCUUCCCUCUACUCCCUCUCUCCAGCCCCACUGGUCUCCUCAC